rnacentral:lncRNA from 1 species
AGUAAACAGUAUGGGUCACUUGGUCAAUUACAUGACUUGGAGGCAUACAGGAUGAAUGAAAAGGUAUAACGGGGUGAACACUGGUUUAAGAGAGUACACUAUCUGCUAAUUGGUAUAGAUAUUGAUAAAGAGAGAGUGGGUGGAGUAGCCUUGUGGCUUCUCAACACUCAAGCACUUCGCUUUUGGCCUCCAGCUUAGAUAUGCUCUCUUCCAUGUAGACCAACGAUUCUAUGAUGGCUCCGGAUAUAACCAAAUCUUUCUGAAUGUCCUGNNNNNNNNNNNNNNNNNNNNNNNNNNNNNNNNNNNNNNNNNNNGAACUCUUUCGGUUGAGUCAUCUCUUGUUAGAAUACACUAUCCCCUCCUCUAACUAAAGGUAAUCGAUGUUCUGGUUUGCAAACUCCCAUGACUGGAAGAUCAUUGACAAUGCAUUUACUGCCCAACAGCAGGAAAAGUAUGAGAAGUUCACACUUUAAAUAUAACAUAAGCUGCCCAAGUAGUAUAAGCUGAAAUAAUACAUCAAAGUCUGAAACCACACAUGAAUACAAACAAUGGAAGGAAAUAAAAUAUGAUCUAUUUGCAGAGAUACAUAUAUGUAUAAUAGUUGUUGUAGCGAGACUAAAGCAACGAACGGCUUCGAGAGAGGAUUUAUUUACCUCGGAUUGGAUUUGUAGUUAGCAUACAUAGCAGUCUCUCCCUGCACAAACAUUACAGAAACAAAUAGUAUGACGGGGUUAGACCCGUCGACACCUCAAAAAUCACAGAAGCCCUCCCAAAAAAAUAGAUAAAUAAAAUUUAGUUUCCUAAUUUGCCCAUAUAUAAGAGGCUUGCAAAUAGUCAUCAGCCAUUCUACACAAUUGAUAGUACAAAAAACUGACAUAUGUGAGACAAAAACUGAAUAAUAAUAUAGGACAACCUCGAAGAUAAUGGGCAUAUUAAUUCAGAUGCACAAAAGAUUUGAACAGCUAUUUGAAAUAAAAUUUGGACAAAACUUGAAUAGUGAAGUGUGAAAGACAUUCCUAAUGUAACACGAUGACUUCAUUUACUAAAGUUAGUGCAUCAAAGAACGAUAGUGUACGUGUAUGCUCCCAGCAUGUGUAAUUUCCAGGUGAGAAUUACAUGAAAUCAAUAUUGUGAGCUGUAUUAGUCCCGUUGAUUCGGAGAGCGUACUUCAAGAUCAAAAGAUAGGAAGCUAGUAAAUUUCAAACUGCAGAAGGACAGGUGUCUAAUAGAACAACCCCGCUAAUUUAUUUUAGGACAUAUUACCAGCACCAAAGUUGUUAGAUAAAACGGGAUCAACGAGACACGAGAGACACGGAUUUUUACGUGGAAACCCUUGCGGGAGAAAACCACGGACGCACGAAGGCGCAAUCACUAUGAGGAGGAGUAUUACAAGCACGAGACGACAGGCCGUCUUUAGGUGCGACUACAUGGAGUAUAUAUGAGGGGCAAUACAUAAGAGUCCUUGGAGGACAAGUAAACGAGUUGUACUCGUACGCGUCGGUACCAACGCAAAAGCCCACACCGUUUGUACUACGUCUAGUCCAAUACGGUAGAAUUUGGAUCACAAUUUAACAAUCUCCACCUUGAGCCAAAUUCCCUCCAGUAGUCGAAGAAAGUGAAUAACUCCAUCCAAAUCAGCUUAAACACCUCAUGCGUCAAAGUCCAUAGGACUAGUGAGAAAUACCAACUAAGCCUGAGCAAAGCUCAAACUUAUUGGUAGGAACUGGCUUUGUCAUCAUAUCAGCUGGAUUAUCAUGAGUACUUAUCUUGCAUACCUUCAAAUCACCUUUAGCAACAACAUCUCGAACAUAGUGAAAUCUGACAUCAAUGUGUUUUGUUCUCUCGUGAUACAUUGGAUUCUUUGUAAGAUAUAUAGCACUUUGACUGUCAGAAAAUAUGGUAGGGCAAGAUGAAUCUCCACAAAGCUCAGUGUACAAACCUUUCAACCAGACAGCUUCUUUGCAUGCCUCAGAAAUAGCCAUAUACUCGGCAUCAGUAGUGGAACAAGCCACAAUAGACUGCAAAGUUGCUCUCCAACUCACAGCACAACCACCAAUGGUGAAAACAUAACCUGUGAGCGAUCUUCUCUUAUCCAAAUCACCAGCAAAAUCAGAAUCAACAAAACCAACAAGUCCAUCUCCAGUUUUCCCAAACUGUAAAUAAGCAUUAGAAGUACCUCGCAGGUAUCUGAAAAUCCACUGAACUGCAUUCCAAUGCUCUUUUCCAGGAUUAGCCAUGUAUCUACUAACAACACUCAGUGCAUAAGAUAAAUCCGGACGAGAACAAACCAUGGCAUACAUAAGUGAACCAACUGCACUCGAAUAGGGAACUCUAGACAUGUACUCAAUAUCUGCAUCUGACUCAGGACAUAAGGCUGAUGAUAAUUUAAAGUGUGCAGCUAACGGAGUACUUACUGGCUUGGCAUUAUGCAUAUUAAAACGACGAAGAACUCUAUCAAUAUAUCCCUUCUGACUGAGAUAUAAUUUUCCAGACGGUCUAUCUCUGGAUAUUUCCAUGCCAAGUAUUUUCUUUGCUGCACCCAAAUCCUUCAUCUCAAAUUCAUUACUCAAUUGCUUCUUUAGUUCAUCAAUCUCUGACAUGCUCUUUGCAGCAAUUAACAUAUCAUCAACAUAAAGGAGCAAAUAAAUAGCUGAACCAUUGACAGUUUUCAAGUAAACACAACUAUCAUAAUUAGACCGUUUGAAACCUUGAGAGAGCAUAAAGGUGUCAAAUCUCUUGUACCACUGUCGAGGGGAUUGCUUCAAUCCAUAAAGAGAUUUCUUUAACUUACAGACAAGCUUUUCUUUUCCAGGAAUAACAAAACCUUCAGGUUGUUCCAUAUAAAUAUCCUCUUCUAAUUCUCCAUGUAAGAAUGCAGUUUUAACAUCCAAUUGUUCAAGCUCAAAAUCAUUCAUGGCAACAAUACUAAGUAAAGUGCGAAUAGAGCUAUGCUUCACAACAGGAGAAAAGACUUCGUUAUAGUCAAUACCUGGAAUUUGGCUAUAACCUUUAGCAACCAACCUUGCUUUAUAUCUUGCCUCAUCAUUAGGAGAAACACCUUCCUUUAUUUUGAAAACCCACUUGCAACGAAUAGGUUUCUUCUCUCUAGGUAAUCUUAUCAAAUCCCAAGUGCCAUUCUUUUCAAGUGAUUCCAUCUCAUCAUGCAUAGCAGUCAUCCACUUAUUACUAUCACCGGAAAUAAUAGCCUCGGAAUAUGAAGAAGGCUCAGCAUUACCUUCAAUUUCUUCUGCAACAGAUAAAGCAAAAGAAACAAUAUUGCACUCCUCAAUUAACCUCUCAGGUGCAUUAAUACCCCGCCUAACUCUGUCACGUGCGAGAUUCCAACUAGGUGGAACAAUAGGCUGAUUUGGAGUGACAUGUUCAUCAUCAAAGACGGGUUCAUCAUGUGCAUCAACAUUUUCCUUAUCAGAAGUAUCACCUGAAUCAAUAACAUGCUCCACCUGAACAGUAGGCUGCUGAACAGUAGACUGCUGUUCACUCUCAAUUGGAACAUUAGUAGAUGCAACAUCAUGUAACAUAGCAGAUUCAUUAAAGAUAACGCUCCUGCUAAUAACAAUCUUUUGUGUUUCAGGAUUCCACAAUUUAAAACCUUUAACACCAGAUUUGUAACCAAGAAAGAUGCACUUAAUAGCCCUAGGCUCCAACUUCCCAUUAUCAACAUGAGCAUAAGCAGUGCAACCAAAAACUCUCAACUGUGAAUAAUCAGCAGGUGAACCAGACCAUACCUCAAUUGGAGUUUUCUUAUUAAGAGGAAUAGAUGGUGAACGGUUGAUGAGAUAACAAGCAGUGGAAGCGGCCUCAGCCCAAAAACGCCUAUGCAAACCUGCAUUGGACAACAUGCAACGGGCUCUGGAAAUAAUGGUCCUGUUCAUACGCUCAGCAACACCGUUUUGUUGAGGAGUAUAAGGAACGGUGUGGUGUCUGACAAUGCCUUCAGACUUGCAAUAAUUCCCAAAUUGCUUAGAACAGAAUUCCAUACCAUUAUCAGUGCGAAGUAUUUUUACCUUCUUUUCAGUUUGUCUCUCAAUCAUAAUCUUCCACUCCUUAAAAGCUGAGAAAGCUUGCCAUUUAUGCUUCAAGAAAUAAGGCCAAACCUUUCUCGAAUAAUCAUCAAUAAUAGUCAACAUGUAACGAGCACCACCUAAUGACCUUUUGCGAGAUGGUCCCCAUAAAUCAGAAUGCACAUAAUCAAGAAUACCUUCAGUUGUAUGAGUCGAAGUGUUGAACUUCACCCUCUUGUGCUUGCCGAAGAUACAAUGCUCACAAAAUUUCAAUUUACCAGUUUGGUAUCCUUUAAGAAGACCUCUCUUAUUUAACUCUGCCAAACCAAGUUCACUCAUAUGUCCAAGACGCAUAUGCCAAAGGUUAGAAGCAUCACAACCAGAAUUCUUUGAAACAGCUGGAGUAGCGUUACCUGAAACGGUAGAACCUCGAAGGUAAUAAAGACCAUUGGUCGAACUUAAGUCACCUUUCAUCACAAUGAGAGAACCUUUGGUGACCUUCAAAACGCUAUCUCCACCUGAAUACUUGUAGCCCUUUGCAUCAAGGGCACUCACAGAGAUAAGAUUUCUCUUCAUCUUCGGAAUAUACCGAACAUCUGUCAAAGUUCUGAUUGUGCCAUCAAACAUCUUGAUACGAAUGGAACCUAUGCCUUCAAUCUUGCAUGGUGAAUUAUCAAAACCCAAAACGGAACCAGCGGCAGUAGUAGAAUCAAAAGUAGUAAACCAAUCUCUAUGCGGGCACAUAUGAAAAGUACACGCAGUGUCAAGUACCCACUCAUCAUUGGUCUCAGCACAUCCAGCAAUAACAACAAGAGCAUCAUCUGAACUUUCAUCACGAGCAACAUUAGCAGAAUUUUCACCUUGUUUGUUACCUUUCGGUUUAUAUGUACCAUUCCUCUUUUCCUUGUUCUGCAACUUGAAACAUUCUGAGAUGUCAUGCCCGUCUCUCUUGCAAUACCUGCAAGACUGCUUCUUGUCUUUAGAUUGCGACCGGCCCCUCUGGCCGUUCUUACUUUUGCCACGGUUUCCAUUGUGUGAGUUCUUCUCCUUUGUCCUGCCACGAACAGAUAAUCCCUCGGCUUGGGAUGAACUCGAACCAUCAUGAGGCACCAUUAAUUUCAUCUUCUCCUUAGAGUUCAAAGCUUCAUAAACUUCAUUAAGCGUGAGAGUAUCACGACUGUAUAAUAUGGUGUCUCGAAAAUUGGUAUAAGAACUUGGCAGCGAACAAAGUAACAUUAAAGCAGUAUCUUCUUCAUCAUACGUAACCUCCAUUGCAGCUAGAUCGGAUAUGAUCUCUUUAAAUUCUGAAAUAUGAUUCAAAACGUUACCUCCCUCGGGUAACCUGUGCAUGAAUAAUUUUUGCUUCAGAUGCAUCUUGCUGGUGAGAUCUUUAGUCAUGCAAAUCCCUUCCAGCUUUAACCAUAGAGCGGCGGCAGUUUUCUCGCUCAAAACUUCCUGCAAAAUAUUAUUAUGCAAAUGGAGUUGAAUUUGUGACAAAGCCUUACGAUCCCUUCUUUUCUCCUCAGCAGUCCAAUCCUCAAUUCUAUUCUUCCCAAAACUAUCCAGUGCAUCAUCGUAGUCGGCCUGCGCCAACAACGCCCGCAUCUUGACUUGCCAUAGGGUAAACCUUGUGUCACGGUCCAGCAGCGGAAGAUCGUACUUCAUGGAUGCCAUGAGUAGAUAAAUCUGUGUACACAAAGUAGUACAAGCCGGCAGAAAAAUUCUUGAUGAAAUUAAUAUGCGGAUGAAACGAAAUAGAAUAAAUAGCACCUGGUAGCUCUUGGGUAGAUGUAGCAAAAGAUGGCAAAGUCCAAAAAAAAACUGAACUAGCACUCAGCCUGCUCCUCCACGUGAGUAGUACUUUGUACUAGCUGCAGCCUUGGCCCUGUAGCGCUUCGAUCUUCACUGUGGGCAGCAGCAGCAACUUGCGUUAACAGCGGCACCAGCAGGACGUAAGCGGAAAAACUCAGUGGAUUGGACAAGUCGACGCAGCGGGCCGAGCGCGGCAACAGGGGUGCGACUUGGAGACAGCAGCUGCAGCGGCUCGGCGCGAUUUGUACGCGUGCGUGCGUACGAACAGAACUUCAGUCGGACUCGGUGUCUUGCUCGAUCUGGCGUCGGAUCGCCGGAUCGCGUGUCGGCGGCAGUGCACGCGACGUACAACCGCUGUAGCAGAAAUCGUGUCGAACUCGGCUCCUGUAUUGAUCCGGAUCAGCGGAUCGCCCGACGUGGCGGCGGCGAGGAAAACCCUAGCUCUCGUCUGAAAUCUCGUAUACGUAGAACCUCAGCUCUGUAUACCACUUGUUAGAUAAAACGGGAUCAACGAGACACGAGAGACACGGAUUUUUACGUGGAAACCCUUGCGGGAGAAAACCACGGACGCACGAAGGCGCAAUCACUAUGAGGAGGAGUAUUACAAGCACGAGACGACAGGCCGUCUUUAGGUGCGACUACAUGGAGUAUAUAUGAGGGGCAAUACAUAAGAGUCCUUGGAGGACAAGUAAACGAGUUGUACUCGUACGCGUCGGUACCAACGCAAAAGCCCACACCGUUUGUACUACGUCUAGUCCAAUACGGUAGAAUUUGGAUCACAAUUUAACAAAAGUGAUGGUUGCUUUAUUAUAAUAUAAAGAAGGGAGAAACCCUUUUUCGGUAUUACCAGCACCAUAGCAACAUAACAGAAGGACAGACGCCACUCCUUGGAAGAGGAGUGAGACUUUUCCAUGUUAUUGCAGGCUAAGUGACCGCAGUACAAAAUGGAGCCACGUUUUCUAACCAGUCAGCUGGCAAGAUAUCUUGACAUCUCAAUGAAGUACAUGAAGCUUUUAUGAGAUCGUGCAAAAUCUAAGUAGCAGGCACAUAUAGAAUCACUGACCUUUGAUUCUUCUAGCCACGUUUUCUAACCAGUCAGCUGUGUAGAUAUCCUGAC